UAAGACGAACCGUGCAAACGUUGUUCGGAAUCACUGGGCUUAAAGGGCGCGUAGGCGGGUCAUCAAGUCGGGGGUGAAAUCUUUCAGCUCAACUGGAAAAGAGCUUCCGAUACUGGUGGUCUCGAGGGAGGUAGGGGUCGAUGGAACUUCCGGUGGAGCGGUGAAAUGCGUAGAUAUCGGAAGGAACGCCGGUGGCGAAAGCGAUCGACUGGACCUUUUCUGACGCUGAGGCGCGAAAGCCAGGGGAGCAAACGGGAUUAGAUACCCCGGUAGUCCUGGCCCUAAACGAUGGGUACCAGAUUGUGGACUGGACAUGGGUUCACAGUCGAGGCCAAAGUGCUAAGUACCCCGCCUGGGGAGUAUGGUCGCAAGGCUG
rnacentral:rRNA from 1 species